CAAUUUACAACUCCAAAUAUCGUAUCAUGUAAUCUGAUUUCUAACUUAUCAACCUCCACAUUAGGUAAAACAUUUACACAAAAUCCUUGAAAAUGGAGACUUAUCUUUCAAAUGUUGGAUAUUUCUCCGGUUUUCUUGGUGGAGAAGACAUCUCAACUUCUAUAGCCAAUCCCAGUUAUGAUAAGUCUCGAGGUGCCCUGCAGAGCUAGUCGGAAAAGAAUGUGUAAAUAUUUCUUUUUAACAUCUGAGAGCUUUUACACAUGGUACAUGAACUCUUCACUGUACUAUGAGGGGAUAUUAAAG
rnacentral:misc_RNA from 1 species